UGGGGUUUUCAGAAUGAUUCAUCUCACUGCUUGUAGAAAUGCAGUGCAGACUCUGCAGGCUCAGGUGAGGCAGGGCCCAGGCACCCAAAACUGCCACCCUGCCCCUCCCUGCUUUACUAGAUCAUUUCCUACAUCGCUUUGCCUCUGCCAUCAAAGGCAAAGCCACCCACUCACAGGGCACAGGCCGGCACUGCCAUAGUGUUUGCUUUGUGCCUGAUAAUCUUCUGAAAAUAGCAAGUCCAGACCAAAUGUCUACAAGAUCACCCGGCAGGAGCGCCGGAGGGCCUCGGCCAGUUGUGCACAAUGUGGAGAAUCUGGGCCCGCUCACAGCACUUCAGGACGGGAUUUAUUUAUUUCUAUUUACACUGGAGUUCUGCCUGCAUGUCUGUGUCAGAUCACCUGGAACUGGAAUUACAGACAAUUGUAAGCUGCCAUAUAGGUGCUGGGAAUUGAACCCAGGUUUCCUGUGAGAGCAGCCAGAGCUCUGAACUGCCGAGUCAUCUCUCCAGUGCCCUGUUUUGACAGAGUCACUUUCCAGCCCAGAGAGGAUCCUGACUCUGGGCCUUCCACAAGCAAGGUUCUUAGCAUACACUUGUGGCUUCCGGUUCAGCCUGUUAUGGGAUUUCUGAAUGUGCACGAGUAGGGCUCUGCUUCCUGUGCCUUCUCUUAGGCUCUUCUCCUGGGCUUUGUCCAACUCCAGGUGCUGGUCUGCUUUACCUGAUUACAUCUUAUUUUACUACCCUCUUAAAAAUAAACAGGAAAUGUCAAUUCAUAUUUUCUUUUCUGAGCAAUUUAUUUGA